GACGAACGCUGGCGGCGUGCUUAACACAUGCAAGUCGAACGGAAAGGCCCUGCUUUUGUGGGGUGCUCGAGUGGCGAACGGGUGAGUAACACGUGAGUAACCUGCCCUUGACUUUGGGAUAACUUCAGGAAACUGGGGCUAAUACCGGAUAGGAGCUCCUGCUGCAUGGUGGGGGUUGGAAAGUUUGGGCGGUUGGGGAUGGACUCGCGGCUUAUCAGCUUGUUGGUGGGGUAGUGGCUUACCAAGGCUUUGACGGGUAGCGGGCCUGAGAGGGUGACCGGCGACAUUGGGACUGAGAUACGGCCCAGACUCCUACGGGAGGCAGCAGGGGGGAAUAUUGCACAAUGGGCGGAAGCCUGAUGCAGCAACGCCGCGUGCGGGAUGACGGCCUUCGGGUUGUAAACCGCUUUCGCCUGUGACGAAGCGUGAGUGACGGUAAUGGGUAAAGAAGCACCGGCUAACUACGUG
rnacentral:rRNA from 1 species